rnacentral:snoRNA from 1 species
AAGACUCUUCUUUCAGGGAUCAUUUCUUUAGUCUGGAACUAGAGGAUUGUGUUUCUACAGAGGUUGGUCUGGCUGUCCAUGAUGAUGAAUGAAGAUGUUUCCUUCAGAGCAGGAAGCUGGUGAGAAGAUGAGAAUCUUCUUCACUGAUGAAGACUGUUCAGUGUUUCUGGAUGUGACACUGAAGGAGGAAACAUUGUCUGAGUGGA